UGUUGUUUAGAUAGUAUAAAAUCAAAAACCUGCUGACAUAUGCAGGCCUCUGCUAUGGGAGUGAUGGCCAGUCAGAGUGCCUGAGCCAUU